GGGGGUAUAGCUCAGUGGUAGAGCAUUUGACUGCAGAUCAAGAGGUCCCCAGUUCAAACCUGGGUGCCCCCG